rnacentral:rRNA from 1 species
UACGUAGGUGGCAAGCGUUGUCCGGAUUUACUGGGCGUAAAGGGCGCGUAGGCGGUCAGCACAAGUCAGUUGUGAAAUCUCCGGGCUUAACUCGGAAAGGUCAACUGAUCCUGUGCGACUAGAGUGCGGAAGGGGCAACUGGAAUUCUCGGUGUAGCGGUGAAAUGCGUAGAUAUCGAGAGGAACACCUGCGGCGAAGGCGGGUUGCUGGGCCGACACUGACGCUGAUGCGCGAAAGCCAGGGGAGCGAACGGG